GUGUUCACUUCAGGAGCACAUAUACUAAAAUUGGAACAACACAGAGAAGAUUAGCAUGGUCCCUACACAAAGAUGACAUGCAAGUUCAUGAAGCAUUUCAUAGAACA
ensembl:snRNA U6 U6 spliceosomal RNA